rfam:Arabis alpina cultivar Pajares scaff_41760_1_contig_0, whole genome shotgun sequence.
GGGUGCGAUCAUACCACCACUAAUACACCAGAUCCGAUCAGAACUCCGCAGUUAAGCAUGCUUGGGUAAGAGUAGUACUAGGAUGGGUGACCUCCUGGGAAGUCCUCGUGUUGCACCCC